GGACUGCUGAAGAGUCCCAUAAUAGGACGAAACGGCCGUCCAGUGC
rnacentral:hammerhead_ribozyme from 1 species